UCUCCGUAGGUGAACCUGCGGAGGGAUCAUUACAGAGUUCGUGCCCUCGCGGGUAGAUCUCCCACCCUGUGUUAUUGCUACCUUUGUUGCUUUGGCGGGCCGCCCUCGGCUCCCGGCCCCGGCUGGUACGCGCCCGCCAGAGGACCCCAAACCCUGAGCGUCAGUGUCGUCUGAGUACUAUACAAUAGUUAAAACUUUCAACAACGGAUCUCUUGGUUCUG
rnacentral:misc_RNA from 1 species